rnacentral:rRNA from 1 species
UACGAAGGGGGCUAGCGUUGUUCGGAAUUGCUGGGCGUAAAGCGCACGUAGGCGGAUACUUAAGUCAGGGGUGAAAUCCCGGGGCUCAACCCCGGAACUGCCUUUGAUACUGGGUAUCUUGAGUUCGGGAGAGGUGAGUGGAACUGCGAGUGUAGAGGUGAAAUUCGUAGAUAUUCGCAAGAACACCAGUGGCGAAGGCGGCUCACUGGCCCGAUACUGACGCUGAGGCACGAAAGCGUGGGGAGCAAACAGG